rnacentral:rRNA from 1 species
UACGUAGGUGGCAGGCGUUGUCCGGAUUUACUGGGUGUAAAGGGCGUGUAGCCGGGCUGACAAGUCAGAUGUGAAAUCCGGGGGCUCAACCCCCGAACUGCAUUUGAAACUGUUGGUCUUGAGUAUCGGAGAGGCAGGCGGAAUUACUAGUGUAGCGGUGAAAUGCGUAGAUAUUAGGAGGAACACCAGUGGCGAAGGCGGCCUGCUGGACGACAACUGACGGUGAGGCGCGAAAGCGUGGGGAGCAAACAGG